rnacentral:rRNA from 1 species
UACAGAGGGUGCGAGCGUUGUUCGGAAUUAUUGGGCGUAAAGGGCGCGUAGGCGGUGCGGUAAGUCACCUGUGAAAUCUCCUGGCUCAACUGAGGACGUGCGGGAGAUACUGUCAGGCUGGAGUCCGGAAGAGGGUGGUGGAAUUCCCAGUGUAGCGGUGAAAUGCGUAGAUAUUGGGAGGAACACCGGUGGCGAAGGCGGCCACCUGGGCCGGAACUGACGCUGAGGCGCGAAAGCGUGGGGAGCAAACGGG